ACGCUCGACACCUACGGGGGCAGCAGUCGGGAAUAUUGCGCAAUGGAGGAAACUCUGACGCAGUGACGCCGCGUGCAGGAAGAAGGUUUUCGGAUUGUAAACUGCUUUAGACAGGGAAGAAAGAAAUGACAGUACCUGUAGAAUAAGCUCCGGCUAACUACGUGCCUGCAGCCGCGGUAAUCUGAGCGGGCUGGCAAGGC
rnacentral:rRNA from 1 species